rnacentral:rRNA from 2 species
UGGGGGAUAUUGCGCAAUGGGGGAAACCCUGACGCAGCAACGCCGCGUGAAGGACGAAGGUUUUCGGAUCGUAAACUUCUUUGACCGGGGACGAAGAAAUGACGGUACCCGGGGAACAAGCCACGGCUAACUACGUGCCAGCAGCCGCGGUAAUACGUAGGUGGCGAGCGUUGUCCGGAUUUACUGGGUGUAAAGGGCGCGUAGGCGGGGCGGCAAGUCCGAUGUGAAAUCCCGCGGCUUAACUGCGGAACUGCAUCGGAAACUGCCGUCCUUGAGUAUCAGAGGGGAAAGCGGAAUUCCUAGUGUAGCGGUGAAAUGCGUAGAUAUUAGGAGGAACACCGGUGGCGAAGGCGGCUUUCUGGCUGAAAACUGACGCUGAUGCGCGAAAGCGUGGGGAGCAAACAGG